rnacentral:rRNA from 1 species
AUUGAACGCUGGCGGAAUGCUUUACACAUGCAAGUCGAACUGCAGCACGGGGCAACCCGGUGGCGAGUGGCGAACGGGUGAGUAAUACAUCGGAACGUGCCCAAUCGUGGGGGAUAACGUAGCGAAAGCUACGCUAAUACCGCAUACGAUCUACGGAUGAAAGCGGGGGAUCGCAAGACCUCGCGCGAAUGGAGCGGCCGAUGGCAGAUUAGGUAGGUGGUGGGGUAAAGGCUCACCAAGCCGCCGAUCUGUAGCUGGUCUGAGAGGACGACCAGCCACACUGGGACUGAGACACGGCCCAGACUCCUACGGGAGGCAGCAGUGGGGAAUUUUGGACAAUGGGCGCAAGCCUGAUCCAGCCAUUCCGCGUGCAGGAUGAAGGCCUUCGGGUUGUAAACUGCUUUUGUACGGAACGAAAAGGCUCUGGUUAAUACCCGGGGCUCAUGACGGUACCGUAAGAAUAAGCACCGGCUAACUACGUGCCAGCAGCCGCGGUAA